GACAGUGACAGGGACUGGGAACCUGGGAGCUUCUCAGCAUCUCCUUUUCACACUCUGCCUCUGAGCAGCUGGGAAUCCUUACCCCUCCAAUCUCCUGACUGCUCAUCUCCCUGGAGCCAGGACCCUGAAUCAGUAUUCACGGCCUGUUAGUGGCUUGCAAGGCAGAGCAGACAGAUGGACGUGCUCGGGAAGCCUAUUGAUCAGCCCUUGGUGUGACCUGCCCAGACCUGGUUCUGUUUCAAGCACUGAUCACGUGGACAAGGAGUCCUUAAUUCCUCUCAGCACCAUUUGAGAUGAGCAACUACACAAGACAAAGACGAAAGGCUUUUUCAGCUCAAAAAUCCUGUGAUUCUUUGAUUCUAAGAAGAGAUUUUCUUACAAGGAGUUUGCCUAAGUGUCCACACGGCUUGUGUCUCCUCCCAGCAGCCGGCCUGCUGGUGUGUGUGCUGUGUGUGGAGAGUGGCCUUAGGCCUGUGUUGUGAGUGAUGUCUGCAGAGCAUGGGGUUGAUUUGGAAGAAGGUGUGAUCCGAAGUUGUGUUUGACCUGAGCUCCUGUCACCCCUGAAGGCAGCAGAGGAUCUCCUGUCAGUGACCCAGGAGGACAGCUUUCUGAAGGACAUUCUGCCCAUUGCACAGAGGGGCUUUUGUGAUUGGUUUGCCCAGAUGUGACUUUUUCCCCUACCUUUGAAGGCCUAGAUUGGGUUUCCCAUUUCUUGGCCCUUUGGAAAGGCCAAUGGCUCCCUGUCUGACAGGCUGCCCUGAGCAGCAGGUGCUCCAUUUAGACCCAGGCUGCCCCAAUCCCAGCUCUGAUCUGACUCUCAGCUCUGAGGCUCCAUUGAGUCCCUGGGCCUCAGGGACCCUGUUCAGGCUUUGCUGAUGGUGGCAUCAAGUGACCUCCGAGCCACCUCCACGUUGGCUCAGACUGAGGAAACUGGUGAUCUUGUCUUGCUGUUUGCAAUACUUGAAGACAAAAACAGAACUUGUGCUGCAUUCUCAAGAAAGAAGAGACAACUGUUCCUGUACCUCACUCUUGUAGAUAUCUGUAUGAAGAAGCAGUGAUGGGUGCAUGCAAGCUAGGGAGCAUCAAGGCUCCCACUGCGUGGGCGCCAGCUGACCCCUGACCUCGUUUUCAUCUGUUGCUCUGGUCAUGGCUCUGAGAUCUGGGCAACCUGAGCCAGCUUGUGCAUUCCUUACCCUUGUGCUUUUGCACUAUCCAUCCCUGUCCCCUAGAACUCCCUCCAGUACAGUCUGCUCCACCCCAUCCCAUCCCAUCCCAUCCCAUGCCAUCCCAUCCCCUCACCUCACUCCAUCCUACCCCAUCCUACCACAUCCCACCCCAUCCCAUUCCAUCCCAGCCCACACCACCCCACCCCACCCCACCCCAUCCCACCUCACCCCAUCCCAUUGCCUCAUCCCACCCCAUCCCAUCACAUCUCACCUUACC
rnacentral:lncRNA from 1 species